ACCAACCAGCUACUUUCUGAUCUAUUCUUCUCUGCAGCAGGUCCUUCUCUGUCACUGAAAGAUGGGUUCCUACGGCCCGCUGGUCAGCUCCCGCUGUUCCAACCCAUGUGAGGUGAUGUGCCCAGAACCAUGCGUCCAGGCCUGCAACCAGCCAUGUGUCACCUCCUGUGGGGACUCAAGAGCUGUAGUCUAUGCACCCCCGGUGAUCGUGACCUUCCCAGGACCCAUCCUCAGCACUUGCCCUCAGGAGAGCCUGGUGGGAACUGUAUUACCCUAUGAAAGUGGACCGAUCAUCCCCAUGGGGGGCUCCUCAUAUGGUGGGGGGAGAUCCUUUGGCUCUGGAGGCUUCACUGGUGGAUCAUAUGGUGGUGGGGUUUCUGGAGGCAGUGGCAGUGGACCAUAUGGAGGUGGUUAUGGAGGUUAUGGAGGUUAUUCUGGUGGUGGUGGAUCAUACGGUGGGGGUAGUUAUGGAGGCUCCAGUGGUGGAGGAGGGUUCUCCAGUGGAGGCUUCAUCGGUGGUGGGUCUGGCUAUGGCGGCUUGGGUUGCGGAGGUGGCUCUUUUGGUGGAGGCAGCUUUACUGGUGGCUCCUCCAGUGGUGGUGGCUACAGGCGCUCCUGUGGAUACAGGCGGUCUUACACUUCUGGCCGGUCCAGCUUUGGCUCUUCUGGCGGGUCUCGCCGUGGCUCCUGCGGACCAUUCUAAACCCCACAGAUGGUUCCCCCCAGCAACACUCAUGGCAUGAGGAAUGACCCGGGAACAUGGAACAAGAUUCAGAUUCAUGGCUCACAUUUGACCAAUGGUUUUCUGAAGUGCUGAGCUCCUGCAACCCCACAUGAAGGCAAAGGGAGCUGUGCUCAGGACUUUGGAAAAUAAGAGCUCACCUAUCUCUUUCUUACAUUGUACUUUUACUUUGACUCAUUAGACUUUGGUUACCCAUCUUCAUCCCAUGCUCCUACUGCUUUGCCAUGUCUGAUGCUGGGCAGUGUAAAACAAGUCAUUAACUAUGUUGACAAGCAGGACUUGACUGUCACAUUCUCAAGCUCCCAGAACAAGAAGAGACCAUCCUACAUCUUACCUUGGAGCUGACGAAUGGCUGUCAUCUUUAUGGGAACCCUAGAAAUGUCUUCCUUGUGUUAUUUCUGCAUUUAUUUCUCUCUACAAUGUAUAAUGUACUUCUCCUUUGCAUUAAAAUCAUGCUGCAUCAUAA